UGCCUUUAUGUGUUGCCCUUUCAUUGUUACUUUAGUGAUUGGGGUGUCAAAUAAGGCAUACACUGACUCUUGUGGUUGUCUGUGAAAUGAGCCUGACGUGACUCCUUCACACAAACAGCUGCAAGGACAAAA
rnacentral:snoRNA from 1 species